AUAUACCGCGAAACUGCGAAUGGCUCAUUAAAUCAGUUAUCGUUUAUUUGAUAGUACCUUACUACUUGGAUAACCGUGGUAAUUCUAGAGCUAAUACAUGCUAAAAAUCCCGACUUCGGAAGGGAUGUAUUUAUUAGAUUAAAAACCAAUGCCCUUCGGGGCUCACUGGUGAUUCAUAAUAACUUCUCGAAUCGCAUGGCCUUGCGCCGGCGAUGGUUCAUUCAAAUUUCUGCCCUAUCAACUUUCGACGGCUGGGUCUUGGCCAGCCAUGGUGACAACGGGUAACGGAGGGUUAGGGCUCGACCCCGGAGAAGGAGCCUGAGAAACGGCUACUACAUCCAAGGAAGGCAGCAGGCGCGCAAAUUACCCAAUCCCGACACGGGGAGGUAGUGACAAUAAAUACUGAUACAGGGCUCUUUAGGGUCUUGUAAUUGGAAUGAGUACAAUUUAAAUCCCUUAACGAGGAACAAUUGGAGGGCAAGUCUGGUGCCAGCAGCCGCGGUAAUUCCAGCUCCAAUAGCGUAUAUUAAAGUUGUUGCAGUUAAAAAGCUCGUAGUUGAACCUUGGGCCUGGCUGGCCGGUCCGCCUCACCGCGUGCACUGGUCCGGCCGGGUCUUUCCCUCUGGGGAACCGCAUGCCCUUCACUGGGUGUGCUGGGGAACCAGGACUUUUACUUUGAAAAAAUUAGAGUGUUCAAAGCAGGCCUAUGCUCGAAUACAUUAGCAUGGAAUAAUAGAAUAGGACGUGUGGUUCUAUUUUGUUGGUUUCUAGGACCGCCGUAAUGAUUAAUAGGGACAGUCGGGGGCAUCAGUAUUCAAUUGUCAGAGGUGAAAUUCUUGGAUUUAUUGAAGACUAACUACUGCGAAAGCAUUUGCCAAGGAUGUUUUCAUUAAUCAGGAACGAAAGUUAGGGGAUCGAAGACGAUCAGAUACCGUCGUAGUCUUAACCAUAAACUAUGCCGACUAGGGAUCGGACGAAGUUAUUUUUUGACUCGUUCGGCACCUUACGAGAAAGAAAAGUCUUUGGG
rnacentral:rRNA from 1 species